GAGGCAUUUCAACUCAACUCUCUGUUGCAGUUUUUAUUUCAAAGAGCACAACUUCUCUGAUUGUAAGACCAUUGAUGAGCUCCAACUGAGUGGAGAAGCAGCACACUUUGAAGUAAACUACUGCAAACAGCUGAGUAGAUGGUUCUUUGGCAGCCUGCUGUGAGUGAAAUAGAUUGUGAACUACCUGGCGAUGAAUGAUUUGGGUCCUACUGUAUCAGUCUUUCUAACAGGUAGCCAAUCUGAAAGGGACAACCUUUCCCAAGUUUUCAGUGACCAAGUCCUGAAGGAGCAAGGGUUUCAUAAUACCUGCAUGUAGGAUCCUCUGCUCAAACCAGAGUUCAAGCAAGAGGAACCCAAUCCAAGGGGCAGUAAUACAGCUGCGGGAUAUUGGUAGAUGUGAUUGGCCACCAUUGGAAGGAUAUGCAUAGAGUAACCAUCACAGAAGUGAGAGACGAGUCCUUUCAAACAUGGAAGAUGUAUGAAGAGCAGAAAGGGGAAAAAAAAGUUUGUUCAGCAGAAGUUUUGUAAUGGUGAAGAGAGAAGAAUCCAAAUUGUCUUUUAUUCAGAGCAUCACACAAAGUAAAAAGAAAUAUUGCGGGAACUGGAAGAAAAGGUUACAAAGACUCAAAGCAGGGGGUGGAAGAAAGGUUUUCUUGGCCCUCAGAAGAAAGAUGGAUGGAAGAAACUGUUACUGAGACUAAUAAAAGGCGUAUUCUGUUGUAGGGUAUUGAAAAGUAAUAAGAUGAAUGCAGAAUGGGAUUGUUUUCUUUAGCAUUAGCUUGCUUCAACUGCAUUCCUUCUACUAGAUAAAAGUGAAACGAAUCUACGUAAAAAUAAACUACAAGUAUUAUUUCAAAUUUUUUAAAAGCGUGUUGCAACUUACAUUAAAAUAGAGUUCAAAGACUGUUUUUUCUCCCACUUAAAUCAAUGAGACGAUAUUCCUUUCUCAACUGGCCAAGACCUCUCAAGGUGACAAAGUCUGUCUAUGGGAUGUCAUAUGUAGCAAAGACCCAAUAUGAGAGGGAAAAAGUUAUUCAUUAGAGACGUAUUUCUUUAGUAUAAAGAACUUGGUCAUUUCAGUUUUAUUAUUUUAUACCAACGUAAAUAAAUAUUAGCAACAGAACUGAGGGGAUCCUGCAUUUCUAUGUAAUGCACAUGUUUUUGAGAUUAAGGAAUUUGUUACGUGUUACUCCUGUGAGCUGUUUUGUGUUAGUGGUUCCUUGAGUUUGCAGCAGUCACGCAUUCAGGCCAACAGGGGCCUGGAAGACUGGAAAAUAAGAAUCCCUCCCCUUCUCUCUCAUUCUGGGCUCCACCACUGCUCUCGGGGAUCCCUCUGUACCCCCUGCUCCCAGCACCCCUCCCCCCCCAAUCCACUCCCCAGGGCUCCCUGCCCCCUUCUCCCCCCUUGCUUGUGGUUGCCUGUGCUCUCUGUCCCAGGGAAGCAGCCAGGGGAGGAUUAACUUGCCAGCCCCACCCCCACAGCUGCUGGGCUGAUGCUGUCUUCUGGGCUGAGUUCCCAAGACAGCAGCAGUGUCAGUGACAUCCAGGCAGGCAGAUUAACCCUUAUGUGCCUGCUCCCCUGGGACAGACAGCAUAGGCAGCCACAAGUAAGCAGGGGGGAUGGGGUGGCACUGAGAAAGGCUCUGGAGGCCUCAGAGAGAUUGGGGCUCAGGAACUGAAGUGGGCCCAAUCUGGGUCAUCAAGGAAGGGGCACAGGGGUGUUUACGCUAAAGUGUAACCUAGAGUGGCUACACUUUAGUGUAACAUAAGCUGGGUAACACAGAUCAGAGAUAAUCCUGCCCAAAGUGGUGCAAUUUUGACCUACCUAAUGAGUGUUUAAAACUAGUUUUAAGUGUUACUGUGCAGACAGUCCAGGUGUUAAGAGCUCCAGGAACUACCCAAAAUUACCGUGUAACUAGCACCUAAAAUGACAGACAUGUUUUGGGUUUGCUCAUUCACACUGAUGUUGGCUGCUUCCAUGAAGCCAGCUCGGAGCUGCUUUGGAGCAGAUGAAAUGGAGGCAUGGAACAACAGCUAGACUCCAGUGUAGUGCACUACUGGGAUCGCAAUAAGAAAACCAUGUAAAAGGGCAAAAACCUUCUCCAAUAAAUAUCAGAGACUCUGUGUUGUAAAGUACGACACACAGGCCUGAAUUCUGCAAACACUUAAACAUGUGCUUAUCUUCAUGCAUAUGAGCAAGCUUAUUUCAAUCAAUGGAUCUAUUCUCAUGGAUAGCCUUAAGCAUAAGUGUUUGAAGGAACUGGGUUUAACUUGAAUGCAAAAAUGUGCACAUUGCAGAAACUCAAAAUAGCAUUCAGAAGAUAAUUUUAAGUUUUCAAAUUUGAUGUUUUAUGCAUAUAAAUCCCCAAUUGACACACAACCUGGAAUAAAUCUGUAAUUUCCAGGCAGGUCUUUCAGCUACUUCUAAGGCUAAUUUGGAUGUGAAUGAAACAGAGCUUCUAAUUUUUACCUCAUCUUGCAAAGUUGAAAACCUGUAAAGUAUAUUUAUCUAAUCUGUUUAAUCCUCUCUCCCAUUCCUCCUCUUUCAGUGCAACUGAUUGUACCAGAGCUGAGAAAUAAUAUAAUUUAAAGGUAGAAAGUGUAUUGCUAUGUUCUAUUGCUACUGUCCUAUAUAAAAAGUUUUAUUCAU